rnacentral:rRNA from 1 species
CAGUAGCCGCGGGAACACGGAGGGAGCUAGCGUUGUUCGGAAUUACUGGGCGUAAAGCGCGCGUAGGCGGUUACUCAAGUCAGAGGUGAAAGCCCGGGGCUCAACCCCGGAACUGCCUUUGAAACUAGGUGACUAGAAUCUUGGAGAGGUCAGUGGAAUUCCGAGUGUAGAGGUGAAAUUCGUAGAUAUUCGGAAGAACACCAGUGGCGAAGGCGACUGACUGGACAAGUAUUGACGCUGAGGUGCGAAAGCGUGGGGAGCAAACAGGAUUAGAUACCCGCGUAGUCCCUGUCUCUUAUAC